rnacentral:rRNA from 1 species
CCUACGGGAGGCUGCAGUGGGGGAUAUUGCACAAUGGGGGGAACCCUGAUGCAGCGACGCCGCGUGGGUGAAGAAGCGCCUCGGCGCGUAAAGCUCUGUCAGCAGGGAAGAAAAUGACGGUACCUGAAGAAGAAGCCCCGGCUAACUACGUGCCAGCAGCCGCGGUAAUACGUAGGGGGCAAGCGUUAUCCGGAUUUACUGGGUGUAAAGGGGGCGCAGACGGGGAUGCAAGCCAGGAGUGAAAGCCCGGGGGCCAACCCCGGGACUGCUCUGGGAACUGCGUGGCUGGAGUGCAGGAGGGGCAGGCGGAAUUCCUGGUGUAGCGGUGAAAUGCGUAGAUAUCAGGAGGAACACCGGUGGCGAAGGCGGCCUGCUGGACUGCAACUGACGUUGAGGCCCGAAAGCGUGGGGAGCAAACAGGAUUAGAUACCCCUGUAGUC